rnacentral:rRNA from 1 species
AACGAACGCUGGCGGCAGGCUUAGCACAUGCAAGUCGAACGCCCCGCAAGGGGAGUGGCAGACGGGUGAGUAACGCGUGGGAGUCUACCGUACCCUACGGAAUAACGCAUGGAAACGUGUGCUAAUACCGUAUACGCCCUACGGGGGAAAGAUUUAUCGGGGUAUGAUGAGCCCGCGUUGGAGUAGCUAGUUGGUGGGGUAAAGGCCUACCAAGGCGACGAUCCAUAGCUGGUCUGAGAGGAUGAUCAGCCACAUUGGGACUGAGACACGGCCCAAACUCCUACGGGAGGCAGCAGUGGGGAAUAUUGGACAAUGGGCGCAAGCCUGAUCCAGCCAUGCCGCGUGAGUGAUGAAGGCCUUAGGGUUGUAAAGCUCUUUCACCGGAGAAGAUAAUGACGGUAUCCGGAGAAGAAGCCCCGGCUAACUUCGUGCCAGCCGCCGCGGUAACAC